rnacentral:rRNA from 1 species
GAUGAGCCUGCGUACCAUUAGCUAGUUGGUGGGGUAAAGGCUUACCAAGGCAACGAUGGUUAGCUGGUCUGAGAGGAUGAUCAGCCACACUGGAACUGGAACACGGUCCAGACUCCUACGGGAGGCAGCAGUGAGGAAUUUUGCGCAAUGGGGGAAACCCUGACGCAGCAACGCCGCGUGAGUGAUGAAGGCUUUCGGGUCGUAAAGCUCUGUCGAGUGGGAAGAAAUGGUGCAGGUUAAUAUCCUGUAUUUUGACGGUACCACUAAAGGAAGCACCGGCUAACUCCGUGCCAGCAGCCGCGGUAAUACGGGGGGUGCAAGCGUUAUUCGGAAUUAUUGGGCGUAAAGGGUGCGUAGGCGGUUUUGUAAGUCAGAUGUGAAAUACCGGGGCUUAACUUCGGAACUGCAUUUGAUACUGCAAGACUUGAGUAUGGGAGAGGGAAGCGGAAUUCCUGGUGUAGAGGUGAAAUUCGUAGAUAUCAGGAGGAACACCGGUGGCGAAGGCGGCUUCCUGGACCAAUACUGACGCCGAGGCACGAAGGCGUGGGGAGCAAACAGGAUUAGAUACCCUGGUAGUCCACGCAGUAAA